AGUUGACACAAAGCGCCGGGCCACGCGGGUGACAGCCGCGAGGGUGACGAGGAGAGGAAUCAUCGAAAAAUUCGGCGGAUGUUUCUCCGGCUGAAGCAGGCCAGGCGGCCUGCGGGGCUAUACCAGCCGCAGAGAGGGGCAAAAAACGGCAGCAAUACCGUAACAGAUCCCCUCAAAGGAAGCCA
rfam:Faecalibacterium sp. CAG:82 genomic scaffold, scf11